UACGUAGGGCGCAAGCGUUGUCCGGAAUUAUUGGGCGUAAAGAGCUCGUAGGCGGUUUGUCGCGUCUGGUGUGAAAUCUCAAGGCUCAACCUUGAGCUUGCAUCGGGUACGGGCAGACUAGAGUGCGGUAGGGGUGACUGGAAUUCCUGGUGUAGCGGUGGAAUGCGCAGAUAUCAGGAGGAACACCGAUGGCGAAGGCAGGUCACUGGGCCGCAACUGACGCUGAGGAGCGAAAGCAUGGGUAGCGAACAGG
rnacentral:misc_RNA from 1 species